rnacentral:rRNA from 1 species
UACGUAGGGUGCAAGCGUUAAUCGGAAUUACUGGGCGUAAAGCGUGCGCAGGCGGUGAUGUAAGACAGGUGUGAAAUCCCCGGGCUUAACCUGGGAACUGCAUUUGUGACUGCAUCGCUGGAGUGCGGCAGAGGGGGAUGGAAUUCCGCGUGUAGCAGUGAAAUGCGUAGAUAUGCGGAGGAACACCGAUGGCGAAGGCAAUCCCCUGGGCCUGCACUGACGCUCAUGCACGAAGCGUGGGAGCAACAGG